GCCGGGACUUGAACCACCAACCUUGCGGUUCCCAGUGCCCCCUCUCCACCCCCGCGCGCCACGUCGCCCCCUUUUAUCCUUCCAGGAGACGUGAAGAAAAGAGCUCCCUGAUUUCGGUACGAAAUAAUAUAAAACAUUCAAGCUUACAUUUAAUUAUAUUAAUAAGACGGUUUUCCAACCAGAGAGCCAGUUGAGUGUCAACUGACAAAAUCCCAUCGAAUAAUCGCGUACUGGAAACUCCGAUUGGUUUUUUAUGCACACUAGAAGAACCUGAACCCUGUGAAUCUGAAUGCUGAGAUGGCGAGCUAAACCCGGAUCGUGGAUGCGGUGUGGCCGACCGUAUGAUCAGACCCAACCUGAUUCGUGUAUCGAGAAGACGUCAGACUCCAGUCCUGCCGCCAGGUAGACGGUAGGAAGAUGUACAAGUCCAGGAUGGAGGGCAGUCUUGUGGCAAUCAUUCUCUCUCCGUUGUAGUCUGUGGUCUUGUUUGGUGGCCAAUCCAAACCACACAGCGAUGGAAGAACAGAGAGUAGACAUGAUGGGAGAGUAGAAGAAGCAACCCCCGGUAUGAUGGUGUUGAAUGCAGAGCUAAAGUCCACAAACAAACAGAUCCCCCAACACCAGCUUCUCAAAGAGUUUCAUCACCAUAGGCGCAGGACGAUGGGCCUGUAGUCAUUUAAUCCUGUGAUGGUGGAUUCUUUGCACCCGGGAUGAUGGUGGAGCAUUCAAAGCACGAGGGGACUUCACACAGCUCGAGUGAUCGGUUGAAGAUCAGCGUGAAGAUGGGGCAAGCUCGUCAGCACAGAUUUUCAGGACAAUGGUGACACAUCAAAUAAUAAAAAGAAAGUAGUAUUAGUCAAACAA